rnacentral:rRNA from 1 species
CAGCCGCCGCGGUAAUACGUAGGGUGCGAGCGUUAAUCGGAAUUACUGGGCGUAAAGCGUGCGCAGGCGGUUGUGUAAGACAGGUGUGAAAUCCCCGGGCUUAACCUGGGAACUGCGCUUGUGACUGCACAGCUAGAGUAUGGCAGAGGGGGGUGGAAUUCCACGUGUAGCAGUGAAAUGCGUAGAGACGUGGAGGAACACCGAUGGCGAAGGCAGCCCCCUGGGCCAAUACUGACGCUCAUGCACGAAAGCGUGGGGAGCAAACAGGAUUAGAUACCCCGGUAGUCCCUGUCUCUUAUAC